GAUGAACGCUGACAGAAUGCUUAACACAUGCAAGUCUACUUGAACUUCGGUUUGGGUGGCGGACGGGUGAGUAACGCGUAAAGAACUUGCCUCACAGUUAGGGACAACAUUUGGAAACGAAUGCUAAUACCUGAUAUUAUGAUUUUAGGGCAUCCUAAGAUUAUGAAAGCUAUAUGCGCUGUGAGAGAGCUUUGCGUCCCUUAGCUAGUUGGAGAGGUAACGGCUCACCAAGGCGAUGAUGGGUAGCCGGCCUGAGAGGGUGAACGGCCACAAGGGGACUGGACACGGCCCUUAUUCCUACGGGAGGCAGCAGUGGGGAAUAUUGGACAAUGGACCAAAAGUCUGACCAGCAAUUCUGUGUGCACGAUAACGUUUUUCGGAAUGUAAAGUGCUUUCCAGUUGGGAGAAAAAAAUGACGGUACCAACAGAAGA
rnacentral:rRNA from 1 species